rnacentral:rRNA from 1 species
ACACAUGCAAGUCGAACGAGAUCCAUGGUGUAGCAAUACACCGGAAGAUCUAGUGGCGAACGGGUGAGGAACACGUGGAGAACCUGCCCCGAACUCUGGGAUAACAGUUGGAAACGACUGCUAAUACCGGAUGCCGUUGUUGGAGUCACAUGGCUCUACAACGAAAGUUUUUCGGUUCGGGAGGGCUUCGCGGCCUAUCAGCUUGUUGGUGAGGUAACGGCUCACCAAGGCAUCGACGGGUAGCUGGUCUGAGAGGAUGAUCAGCCACACUGGGACUGAGACACGGCCCAGACUCCUACGGGAGGCAGCAGUGGGGAAUCUUGCGCAAUGGGCGAAAGCCUGACGCAGCAACGCCGCGUGCGGGAAGAAGGCUUUAGGGUUGUAAACCGCUUUCAGCAGGGAAGAAAAUGACGGUACCUGCAGAAGAAGGUGCGGCCAACUACGUGCCAGCAGCCGCGGUGACACGUAGGCACCAAGCGUUGUCCGGAUUUAUUGGGCGUAAAGAGCUCGUAGGCGGUUCAGUAAGUCGGGUGUGAAAACUCUGGGCUUAACCCAGAGCCGCCACCCGAUACUGCUGUGACUUGAGUCCGGUAGGGGAGCGGGGAAUUCCUGGUGUAGCGGUGAAAUGCGCAGAUAUCAGGAGGAACACCGGUGGCGAAGGCGCCGCUCUGGGCCGAGACUGACGCUGAGGAGCGAAAGCAUGGGUAGCAAACAGGAUUAGAUACCCUGGUAGUCCAUGCCGUAAACGUUGGGCACUAGGUGUGGGCAUCAACCAACGAUGUCCGCGCCGUCGCUAACGCAUUAAGUGCCCCGCCUGGGGAGUACGGUCGCAAGACUAAAACUCAAAGGAAUUGACGG